GAGGGGUCUCUGAUUAUAGUCCUUGCCUUCCUGAGACAACAACUUGUAUACAGUUCCUCUAAUGAAGGCAAGAGACAACCAGUGAUCUUCUGGGCUGUGGUGAUGACCCUCUGGAGAGCUUUCCUGUCUGUGACUGCAGCGAGAAAACAACAGA